rnacentral:miRNA from 1 species
CGCCCGCCUCAGCCUCCCAAAGUGCUGGGAUUACAGGCAUGAGCCACUGUGCUCGGCCAUGAACUUGAUUCUUU